GGCAAUGGGCGCAAGCCUGACCGAGCGACGCCGCGUGUGGGAUGAAGGCCUUCGGGUUGUAAACCACUGUCAGAGGGGAUGAAAUGCAGGUGGGUUCUCCCAUCUGUUUGACAUAGCCCCAGAGGAAGGACGGGCUAAGUUCGUGCCAGCAGCCGCGGUAAGACGAACCGUCCAAACGUUAUUCGGAAUCACUGGGCUUAAAGGGUGCGUAGGCGGCGCGGAAAGUUGGGUGUGAAAUCCCUCGGCUCAACCGAGGAACUGCGCCCAAAACUACCGUGCUCGAGGGAGAUAGAGGUGAGCGGAACUUAGGGUGGAGCGGUGAAAUGCGUUGAUAUCCUAAGGAACACCGGUGGCGAAAGCGGCUCACUGGAUCUCUUCUGACGCUGAGGCACGAAAGCUAGGGUAGCGAACGGGAUUAGAUACCCCGGUAGUCCUAGCCGUAAACGAUGAGCACUGGAUUGGAGGGUCCUCCAUAGCCUUCCAGUCGCAACGAAAGCGUUAAGUGCUCCGCCUGGGGAGUAUGGUCGCAAGGCUGAAACUCAAAGGAAUGACGAAGGCG
rnacentral:rRNA from 1 species